GGUUACUGCUAUCGGUGUUCGCCUAAGCCAUGCGAGUCAUAUGUUCUUCGGAACAUGGCGUACUGCUCAGUAACACGUGGAUAACCUGCCCUUGGGUCCGGCAUAACCCCGGGAAACUGGGGAUAAUUCCGGAUAACGCAUAUAUGCUGGAAUGCUUUCUGCGUAAAAUGGAUUCGUCUGCCCAAGGAUGGGUCUGCGGCCUAUCAGGUAGUAGUGGGUGUAAUGUACCUACUAGCCGACGACGGGUACGGGUUGUGAGAGCAAGAGCCCGGAGAUGGAUUCUGAGACAUGAAUCCAGGCCCUACGGGGCGCAGCAGGCGCGAAAACUUUACAAUGCGGGAAACCGUGAUAAGGGGACACCGAGUGCCAGCAUCAUAUGCUGGCUGUCCGGGUGUGUAAAAUACACCCGUUAGCAAGGGCCGGGCAAGACCGGUGCCAGCCGCCGCGGUAACACCGGCGGCCCGAGUGGUGAUCGUGAUUAUUGGGUCUAAAGGGUCCGUAGCCGGUUUGGUCAGUCCUCCGGGAAAUCUGAUAGCUCAACUAUUAGGCUUUCGGGGGAUACUGCCAGGCUUGGAACCGGGAGAGGUAGGAGGUACUACAGGGGUAGGAGUGAAAUCUUGUAAUCCCUGUGGGACCACCUGUGGCGAAGGCGUCUUACCAGAACGGGUUCGACGGUGAGGGACGAAAGCUGGGGGCACGAACCGGAUUAGAUACCCGGGUAGUCCCAGCCGUAAACGAUGCUCGCUAGGUGUCAGGCAUGGCGCGACCGUGUCUGGUGCCGCAGGGAAGCCGUGAAGCGAGCCACCUGGGAAGUACGGCCGCAAGGCUGAAACUUAA
rnacentral:rRNA from 1 species